CAAUAGCGUAUAUUAAAGUUGUUGCAGUUAAAAAGCUCGUAGUUGGAUUUGUGGCGUACGGUGUGUUCCGGGCACUUGUUGUCUGAGUAACCUGCUGUUGCUAUCCUUGGGUGGAACCUGUGUGGCAUUAGGUUGUCGUGCAGGGGAUGCCCAUCAUUUACUGUGAAAAAAUUAGAGUGUUCAAAGCAGGCUUAUGCCGUUGAAUAUAUUAGCAUGGAAUAAUGAGAUAGGACUUUUUUGCUAUUUUGUUGGUUUGCGCAAGAAGGUAAUGAUUAAUAGGGACAGUUGGGGGUAUUCGUAUUCCAUUGUCAGAGGUGAAAUUCUUGGAUUUUUGGAAGACGAACUACUGCGAAAGCAUUUACCAAGGAUGUUUUCAUUAA
rnacentral:rRNA from 1 species